rnacentral:rRNA from 1 species
CGGACGGGUGAGUAACACGUGGAUAACCCACCUAUAAGACUGGGAUAACUUCGGGAAACCGGAGCUAAUACCGGAUAAUAUAUUGAACCGCAUGGUUCAAUAGUGAAAGACGGUUUUGCUGUCACUUAUAGAUGGAUCCGCGCCGCAUUAGCUAGUUGGUAAGGUAACGGCUUACCAAGGCGACGAUGCGUAGCCGACCUGAGAGGGUGAUCGGCCACACUGGAACUGAGACACGGUCCAG